rnacentral:rRNA from 1 species
AUGGAGGCCGCGAUUGGGUGGCUGGUGCAGGCCAUCCUCGGAACACUCCGAAUCGACAAGCUGGAUGCGUGGAUCCGCCAAGCCGGGCUUGCUGACGACAUCGAGAGGCUCCGGUGCGAGGUCGAGAGGGUCGGGGUGGCGGUCAGCGCCGUGAGGGGGCGGGCGGCCGUGAACGAGCCGCUGGCCCAAUCUCUCGCUCGCCUCAAGGACUUGCUCUACGAAGCCGACGAUGUGGUCGACGACCUCGACUACUGCAGGCUCCAGCAGCAGGUCCAUGGAGUUGCAUGGGGCGAUCCUGGCAGAAUGCAUGAAGCAGAACGAGUAGAUGAGAUAUCGAGGGGAGGUGAUGCUAAUAUACCUAGUAGCAGUGGUGGUAAUAAUUGGUCCAAAUCAAGGGGUGAUUAUGAUAUCACAGAAGAAAACGACGGAAAACCUGUGAAAGCAAAAUUUAAACACUGUCAAAAAGCAGUUAAGUGCGGAAGCGACAGAGGGACGUCAAUCUUGAACAACCAUGUCAAGAGUGAGGGUUGUAUGAACCCCAGAGCAACUGACCAGCCGCCAAACUCUUCAAGCACCUGUGAUGCUACGGCAAAUGCUGCACCUGUUGUAAUUGGUGAUUUGUUCAGCAGAAAAAGGAGAAGAGACGAGGAGUUGGCACAAACCACUGCAGCUAACAUAAACCUUUGGCACAAGGCAGAUUGUUUCAAUAGGAUACAGGAAAUAACUCGGCAGUUACAAGACAUCCUAGAGGAUGUGAGUGGUGUUCUCAAGAUGCAUGGAUCGGCCUCUAUUACAAGCUCAAAUGAUGUGUGCCCAACAACAUCAAGUCUUAAUCAGCAAAAAGUGUAUGGGAGAGAUUCAGAGAUGAGCACCAUCAUAAACAUGAUUACAUCUGAUAAACAUGAAGGUGUGUCUGUACUGCCUAUUGUAGGCAUUGGAGGAGUUGGCAAGACAACUCUCACACAACUCGUAUAUAAUGAUCCAACAGUAAAAGAGCAGUUUGAACGGAAAUGGCUAUGGGUGUCAAACAACUUUGAUGAAGUAAGGCUUACAAGAGAGAUGUUAGACUUCAUUUCUCAAGAAAGUCAUGAAGGAAUAAAUGAUUUUGCGAAGCUUCAGGAGAUGUUGAAGGUACAUAUGGAGUUCCAGUCGGAAAGGUUUCUGCUCAUUUUAGAUGAUAUCUGGGACACUCUGGAUGAUUACCUAUGGAACAAACUGUUGUCUCCAAUGCUAUCAACUCGUGUGAAGGGCAAUGUGAUUAUUAUCACAACUAGAAAUUUCUCUGUUGCACAAAGGAUAGGUACCCUCGAACCGGUCAACUUAGGUGCUUUGGCAAAUGAUGAUUUUUGGUUAUUGUUCAAAUCAUGUGCAUUUGGUGAUGAGAACUACGAAGAGCAUCAAACUCUAGGCAUCAUCGGGCAUCAAAUAGCAGAGAAGUUAAUGGGUAACCCGUUGGCAGCUGGAUCUGCAGGAGAACUAUUAAGAAAGCAGCUUACUGUUGAUCAUUGGAGUACCAUUUUGAGGAAUGAAUGUUGGAAAUCCUUGCAACUAAGCAGGGGCAUCAUGUCUGCUUUAAAGCUUAGCUAUGAUCAACUACCCUACCAUCUACAACAAUGUUGCUCAUACGUUUCUAUAUUUCCCUACAACCAUCAGUUUCUUGGUGAUGAGUUGGUCCGCAUUUGGAUUUCACAGGGAUUUGUGAAGUGUAACCACUCAGGUAAGAAAUUGGAGGAGACAGGACAUGAUUAUCUGACUGAUUUGGUGAAUCUAGGCUUCUUGCAGCAAGUUGAAUGCAAAGAUGAGAGCACCCGUUUUCGAGAUGAAAUUUUUGUCAUGAGAGUCCAUAAUCGAGUUGUAAGAGAAGAGCCAUUUCAAGGCAGACAAACUUCCUAUGCUAUGUGUGGCCUUAUGCAUGAUUUUGGACGGGUGGUUUCAAGAAAUGAGUGUGCAAUUAUAGAUGAUCUAUGGUGCAACGAAAUUUUGCCAACUGUACAACAUUUGUCAAUAGUAACUGACUCUGCAUACUGCAAGAAUCAGGAUGGAAGGAUACCACGUAGCUACAAGUUUGAAGAAAAUUUGAGAAAUACAGUUACAUCAGUAAGAAGAUUGAGGACACUGGUGUUAAUUGGGCAGUAUGACUCUUUCUUCUUCCAAUCAUUUCAAGAUAUAUUCAAAAAGGCACAUAAUUUGCGUCUGCUGCAAAUGUCUGCAACAGCUUCUGAUUUUAGUUCCUUCGUGUGCACUUUAGUAAAUCCUACCCAUCUUCGCUAUCUGAAGGCUCCUACGCCAGGAGUAGCUUUACCUCAAGUUUUGAGCAAGUUCUACCAUCUUCAAGUAUUAGACACUGGCUCAUACAUUGAUCCAAUGAUACCUAAUGGUAUCCAUAAUCUUGUGAGCCUGCGUCAUAUUGUUGUAGAAGGACUAUCCUCUUCUAUUCCUUGCAUUGGUAAAAUGACAUCCCUUCUGGAGCUACAUGAUUUUAGGGUUCAAAAUACUAGCAGCUUUGAGAUAACACAACUUCAGUCCAUGAACGAGCUUCUGCAACUAGGUGUCUCACGACUUGAAAAUGUUACCACUAAAGAUGAGGCUGAUGGAGCAAAAUUGAGGGACAAAAUACACUUAGAAAAGCUGCGCUUGUCGUGGAAGUAUAAUGAUCACAGUGGCAAAGCAAGAGAGGUGCUCGAGGGUCUUGAACCACAUCCAGGCUUAAAGCAUUUGCGGAUAUUUGGGUACAAUGGUACUACUUCCCCAACUUGGCUUGCCAGCAAUUUUUCAGUUACCUCUUUGCAGACGCUUCAUCUAGAGGAUUGUGGAGAAUGGCAAAUACUUCCAUCUUUGGAAAUGCUUCCGUUUCUUACGAAGUUGACGUUGUGCAAUAUGCAGAAAGUAAUGGAAGCAAUGUUUCCUUCAUUGGAGGAGCUGGUUUUAGUUGAAAUGCCAAAGUUGGAGAAAUGUUCCUGCAGUUCCUUGUGGGAUAUGAACUCUAGUUUAAGAGUACUGAAUAUCAAGAUGUGUAGUGCACUGAAGGUGUUUGAUUUGCUUGAUGGGGGCAUUAAAUUCGAAAGCAAGCAGAAAUCAUGGUUGCCCGGUCUUAGAAAGCUAAUUAUCUACGAUUGUCCUCACUUGGAAGUAAUGCACCCUCUUCCACCUUCAACCACAUGUUCUGAAUUCUUUAUCAACAGAGUUUCAACACUGCCAAGGAUGGAGGGAUCAUCCGGAGAAACAUUGAAAAUUGACGGUCCAGGUUUUUUACAUGCUGGGUGGUUUUAUGAGAUGUGGACACUGGAUGACAGAAUAUUAGCAUUCCAUAAUCUAAGGGGCCUUAAGUACUUGUGUAUCAGAUAUUGCCGGAAUCUGAUGUCUAUUCCAUUUGAAGGUUUUCGUCAGCUAGUCUCCUUAAAGAGUUUGGAAAUAAGCAAUUGUGGAAAACAUCUCUCUCUAGAUAUACCAGAGUGUGCCCAUGAAGAUGUGGUAGUUGCAAAUUGUACUGCCCUCCCAUCUCUUAAAAAUCUCAGAAUUCAUUCGUGUGGUAUAACAGGGAAGUGGCUAUCUUCGAUGCUGCGACAUGCGACGGCUCUAAUGGUGUUCACUUUAUGGGACUGCCCACAGAUAACACAGUUAUCAAUAGAAGAGGGAGAAAACAGUCAGUCAAAUCUUAUCUCAACCAUGCAAGCUUCUUCAUCAGGCUAUUCAAAUGACUCAUUGACAAGCUCAGCUCCAGACGGACUCUUGCACAUUCCGUUAAAUGUCCUCUCCUCUCUCAAGGAGAUGGAAAUUAGGGCAUCCCCUUAUCUAACAUUUUGCCAUAGCAAGGAAGGCUUUUCUGGAUUUACCUCCCUCGAGAAGCUAACAAUUUGGUCUUGCCCUGAGCUGCUCUCAUCUUCGGUGUGUAUUGAUGGAAAUGAUGGCCAGGUGAAUGGAAGUUGUCUCCUCCCUCAAUCACUUGGACAUCUCGAGAUAGCCGAUUAUUCUCGAGCAAUGCUGCAACCAUGCUUUCCAAGGAAUCUCACCUGCCUUAAAAAACUCCAAAUAUGGUUCAAUAAAAGUUUGGAGUCUCUACAGCUACAGUCAUGCAGGGCACUGGAGGAGUUGCAUAUUUCGGGAUGUCCAUCGCUCGCCGCACUAGAGGGCUUCCAGUUCCUUAAGCAUUUGAGUUUAUUCAGCACCCCCAAUUUGCCACCAUUUCUAGAGCAUGUGUCAGGGCAAGGUUAUGAGCUAUGCCCUCAAUUGGAAAAGCUUGUGACCAGUGACCCCUGUGUCCUUACCACGCCAUUCUGCAAGCAGCUCACAUCCCUACAACGCUUAGAACUUCGAAGUUGCGAGAGUGAAGCAACACGGCUAACAGAUGAGCAAGCGGGAGCACUUCUGCUCAUCACGUCCCUGGAAGAGCUCCAGUUUUGGAAAUGCAGGUAUCUCGUAGAUCUUCCUGCGGAGCUGCACUGCCUUCCCUCCCUCAAGAAGCUGGAGAUCGAUAAUUGUCACCGCAUGUUGUGGCUGCCAGUAAAGGGCCUGCCACCUUCGCUGGAAGAACUGAAUAUAACCUGCCAUGGCGGUUGCAGCAUGGUUCUGGCUACUCAAUGCAGGUGGCUAGCAACAAGAAAGCUAAAGGUCAAAAUUGAUGGAAAAUAUGUGAACUGA